AGGACUAACGCUGGCGGCGUGCCUAACACAUGCAAGUCGAGCGGGGUAGCAAUACCCAGCGGCAGACGGGUGAGUAACGCGUGGUCAACCUUCCGUUGAAUGGGGGAUAACUAGCCGAAAGGUUAGCUAAUACCGCAUACGAUCUUUUGAAGGCAUCUUUAAAAGAUGAAAGGAGCAAUUCGUUCAACGACGGGACCGCGUCCCAUUAGCUAGAUGGUGGGGUAAUGGCCUACCAUGGCAACGAUGGGUAGCUGGUUUGAGAGAGCGACCAGCCACACUGGGACUGAGAAACGGCCCAGACUCCUACGGGAGGCAGCAGUGAGGAUUUUCCGCAAUGGGCGAAAGCCUGACGGAGCGACGCCGCGUGUGGGAAGAAGGCCUUCGGGUCGUAAACCACUGUCGAAGGGGACGAUAAUGACGGUACCCUUGGAGGAAGCCCGGCUAACUACGCGCCAGCAGCCGC
rnacentral:rRNA from 1 species